rnacentral:tRNA from 1 species
AUAUAUGAAGUAAAAUUACAAUUUAAUUUCGACUUAAAAUAAUGAUUAUUUUAAAAUAAUCCAUAUAUA